AUGGAGCAAGCCGAACUUGGCGUACAUGGAGAUGAGGGAGUUGGACACGAAGAGGCCGGUGUGGGGCGCUUCUCCUCCACUGUUGGCCGUGCGGGAGACAUGGUCAUGGAUGAGGCGGCCGUCGUUGGCCGUGCCGUGGCGGACGCAGAGCUUGAUGAGGCGGCAGAGCGAGAUGGGGUCCGCGCGGACGCCGGCCGAGGCGAGGUCGGGGAGCAGCGCGAGCGCGGCCGGGAGGGGGCCAUCGUCGCAGAGGCGGGAGAAGGUUGCGAGGAGAGGGUGCGGUUGGGUGUGGGAGUGGAGGCAGCGGCGACUCCGGCGAGCUGCGGCGAGACGCUUGCAAGGGAGGCGGUUGAACAGCGAUCUCAUAUGUGGCAAAAGGGCUCGCGACGGGAGACGGCUCGAGUUCCGCUAGGCUAG
rnacentral:rRNA from 1 species